rnacentral:rRNA from 1 species
UUAAGCGACUAAGCGUACACGGUGGAUGCCCUGGCAGUCAGAGGCGAUGAAGGACGUGCUAAUCUGCGAUAAGCGUCGGUAAGGUGAUAUGAACCGUUAUAACCGGCGAUUUCCGAAUGGGGAAACCCAGUGUGUUUCGACACACUAUCAUUAACUGAAUCCAUAGGUUAAUGAGGCGAACCGGGGGAACUGAAACAUCUAAGUACCCCGAGGAAAAGAAAUCAACCGAGAUUCCCCCAGUAGCGGCGAGCGAACGGGGAGGAGCCCAGAGCCUGAAUCAGUGUGUGUGUUAGUGGAAGCGUCUGGAAAGGCGCGCGAUACAGGGUGACAGCCCCGUACACAAAAAUGCACAUGCUGUGAGCUCGAUGAGUAGGGCGGGACACGUGGUAUCCUGUCUGAAUAUGGGGGGACCAUCCUCCAAGGCUAAAUACUCCUGACUGACCGAUAGUGAACCAGUACCGUGAGGGAAAGGCGAAAAGAACCCCGGCGAGGGGAGUGAAAAAGAACCUGAAACCGUGUACGUACAAGCAGUGGGAGCACAGAGCAAUCUGUGUGACUGCGUACCUUUUGUAUAAUGGGUAAGCGACUAUAUUCUGUAGCAAGGUUAACCGAAUAGGGGAGCCGAAGGGAAACCGAGUCUUAACUGGGCGUUAAGUUGCAGGGUAUAGACCCGAAACCCGGUGAUCUAGCCAUGGGCAGGUUGAAGGUUGGGUAACACUAACUGGAGGACCGAACCGACUAAUGUUGAAAAAUUAGCGGAUGACUUGUGGCUGGGGGUGAAAGGCCAAUCAAACCGGGAGAUAGCUGGUUCUCCCCGAAAGCUAUUUAGGUAGCGCCUCGUGAAUUCAUCUCCGGGGGUAGAGCACUGUUUCGGCAAGGGGGUCAUCCCGACUUACCAACCCGAUGCAAACUGCGAAUACCGGAGAAUGUUAUCACGGGAGACACACGGCGGGUGCUAACGUCCGUCGUGAAGAGGGAAACAACCCAGACCGCCAGCUAAGGUCCCAAAGU